GCUCGGGUGGUGGAACAGAAGACACGCGACGCUCAGAACGUCGUGCCGAGAGGCGUGCAGGUGCAACUCCUGUCCCGAGUACCA
rnacentral:tRNA from 1 species